UGUCAACGAGUCUAGAACUGGAGAGCUCCAGAAAAAUAUGGUGCCGUGUGGGGUAGGGGGUAAUACUGAUUUCACACGUCAUAUUUUCCAGAACAGUUAGCAGGCCCUGUAUUCUAAUUUGGCAUCCAGAAAACAUGAUCCCCAUUGAUCCAUUUAUUCAGAAAUACUUCUUGACUGCCCCACUAUUUGCCAGCAACUUAAAAUCCCCAGGGAUACAGCAGUGAACAAGUAGACAAAGUCCCUACUUUAUGGAGCUAACAUUCUAGUUGGGGGAGAUAGACAAUAAAUAUACAAAUAAAUGUCAGGUGGUGGUAAAUGCUGCAAAAAGAACAAAACCAGGGUAAGCAUAAAGUGAUGGAAGUAGGGUGGUCUGAAAGGGUCUCUUGGAUGAUGUGACUCGAGUGGAGGCUUGGAAUGAAGUAAGGGAGUGAGCCACGUGGCUGCCUGGAGGAAGAGGGCUCCAGCCAGCGCCAAGGUCCCUUAGGAGGAGCUUGCAGGAUUUGCUGGAGGAGACGCAAGGAAGCCAGUGUGUCUGGAAUAGUGUUUGGAGGCGGGGCAAGUGGGAGUUAGAAUGUGAGGUCAGAGCAGUAGCCACAGACUAGGUCAUGCAGGGUCUCCAGGCCAUGGCAAGACCUUUGGAUUUUACUCUGAGUGAAAUGGGGAGCCACGGGAGGGUUUUGAGAAUAAGCAUGAUUACAUCCUGAGGCAAAACUUAGGUUAAAAAAAGUGGGGAGACAAAAGAGGCCUGACAUGAUCUGAUUUAUAAGAUCACUCAUUGCUGUUCAAAAACAACUGUACGGGGGAAAUAUAGAAGUGUGGGGACUCGUUAGCAGGCUUUUGAAAUAUUCCAGGUGAGAGAUAAUGAUGAUUUGGACCAGGGCAUGUUUGGUGGAGCCAGGGAGAAGUGAUUAUAUCUUUCAGAAAAGAAAUGCAUAUUUACUGAAGUGUGGGUUUUUUUUCAUUGUUUUGUUUUCCUGUUUCUUUUAGCACCUUAAAGAUUGUUUUCUGGCUUGCAUAGUUUCUGAUAAGAAGUCUGUGGCCAGGUGUGGUGGCUCACACCUGUAAUCCCAACACUUUGGGAGGCUGAGCUGGGAGGAUCUCUUGAGCUCAGAGGUUUGAGGCUGUAGUGCGUUACGAUUGUGCCUGUGAGUAGCCACUGCACUCCAGGCUUGGCAACACAGUGAGACCCCAUCUCU